rnacentral:rRNA from 1 species
GUUUGAUCCUGGCUCAGGAUAAACGCUGGCGGCGUGCCUAAUACAUGCAAGUCGAACGGAGGUAAGUAGCAAUACGUACCUUAGUGGCGAAUGGGUGAGUAACGCGUUGGUGACCUGCCCCGAAGUGCGGGAUAACAACUCGAAAGGGUUGCUAAUACCGGAUGUGGUCAUUGGGUUUAGAAGCUGAUGACUAAAGCAGCAAUGCGCUUCGGGAGGGGCCUGCGUCCCAUCAGCUAGUUGGUAGGGUAACGGCCUACCAAGGCUCCGACGGGUAGGGGACCUGAGAGGGUGGCCCCCCACACUGGCACUGAAACACGGGCCAGACACCUACGGGUGGCAGCAGUAGGGAAUAUUGCACAAUGGGCGAAAGCCUGAUGCAGCAACGCCGCGUGCGCGAUGAAGGCCUUCGGGUCGUAAAGCGCUUUUGGAGGAGAUGAGGCAGGACAGUAUCCUCAGAAUAAGGAUCGGCUAACUACAUGCCAGCAGCCGCGGUAAAACGUAGGAUCCGAGCGUUAUCCGAAUUUACUGGGCGUAAAGCGCGUGCAGGCGGUUUGGUAAGUUGGAUGUGAAAGCUCCUGGCUCAACCGGGAGAGGCCGUUCAAAACUACCAGACUAGAGGGCGGUAGAGGGAGGUGGAAUUCCCGGUGUAGUAGUGAAAUGCGUAGAUAUCGGGAGGAACACCUGUGGCGAAAGCGGCCUCCUGGACCGUUCCUGACGCUCAGACGCGAAAGCUAGGGGAGCGAACGGGAUUAGAAACCCCGGUAGUCCUAGCCGUAAACGAUGCAGACUAGGCGUCGGUGGGGUAAAAGCCAUCGGUGCCGUAGCUAACGCGUUAAGUCUGCCGCCUGGGGACUACGGCCGCAAGGUUAAAACUCAAAGGAAUUGACGGGGGCCCGCACAAGCAGCGGAGCGUGUGGUUUAAUUCGUUAUACGCGAAGAACCUUACCCGGGUUUGACAUACAGGUAGUAGGGAGCAGAGAUGUGACCGACCCUUCGGGGAGCCCGAACAGGUGCUGCAUGGCUGUCGUCAGCUCGUGUCGUGAGAUGUCCGGUUAAGUCCGGUAACGAGCGCAACCCUCGCUGCGUGUUACAUGUGUCACGCGGGACUGCCGGUAUCAAGCCGGAGGAAGGUGGGGAUGACGUCAAGUCAGCAUGGCCUUUAUAUCCGGGGCUACACACACGCUACAAUGGCCAGUACAAUGGGUUGCAAAACCGCGAGGUGGAGCCAAUCCCCAAAGCUGGCCUCAGUUCAGAUCGUAGGCUGCAACUCGCCUACGUGAAGCCGGAGUUGCUAGUAACCGCGCGUCAGCAUUAGUGCGGUGAAUACGUUCCCGGGCCUUGUACACACCGCCCGUCACGUCAUGGGAGCUGGUAACACCUGAAGCCGGUAUCCUAACCCGUAAGGGAGGGAGCUGUCGAGGGUGGGACUGGUGACUGGGACGAAGUCGUAACAAGGUA